CCUACGGGAGGCAGCAGUGAGGAAUAUUGGUCAAUGGACGCAAGUCUGAACCAGCCACGUAGCGUGCAGGAUGACGGCCCUCCGGGUUGUAAACUGCUUUUAGUUGGGAAUAAAAGGGGGCUCGUGAGCCCCGUAUUGUAUGUACCAUAUGAAUAAGGAUCGGCUAACUCCGUGCCAGCAGCCGCGGUAAUACGGAGGAUCCGAGCGUUAUCCGGUUUUAUUGGGUUUAAAGGGAGCGUAGGUGGCUUGUUAAGUCAGUUGUGAAAGUUUGCGGCUCAACCGUAAAAUUGCAGUUGAAACUGGCAGGCUUGAGUACAGUAGAGGUGGGCGGAAUUCGUGGUGUAGCGGUGAAAUGCUUAGAUAUCACGAAGAACUCCGAUCGCGAAGGCAAGUGUCCGGGGUGCAACUGACGCUGAGGCUCGAAAGUGUGGGUAUCAAACAGGAUUAGAUACCCGAGUAGUC
rnacentral:rRNA from 1 species